rnacentral:misc_RNA from 3 species
AACGCACCUUGCGCCCCUUGGCAUUCCGAGGGGCACACCCGUUUGAGUGUCGUGAAAUCUUCAAAAACCCUCUCUUUUGAGGGGGAUUUUUGGACUUGGAGGUUCAAUGCUCGCUUUCGCCUUUUAGAAAGCGAGCUCCUCUCAAACGAAUCAGUGGGGUCUGCUUUGCCGGUCCUUGACGUGAUAAGAUCUUUCUACGUUUUGGAUUCGACAUCGUCCCGCUUCCAAUCGUCCCACGGACAAAGGAUGGUGCUCCGGUCGCGGCCGGACCCACCAAAAAAACCUUGACCUCAAAUCGGGUGAGACUACCCGCUGAACUUAA